rnacentral:tRNA from 1 species
GCCUCCGUAGCUCAGUCGCAGAGCAUCUGCUUCGUAAGCAGAGGGUCGAGGGUUCAAAUCCCUCCGGAGGCU